UUAAAACGUCAUUAAGUAUUCACAGCUGCGACCUGAAUAUGGACACAAAAGAAUAUAAAAAUUCGUUAAUUUUUGUGAUUUGGGUGGAAUAUCAUCAUGGAGCCUUUCUACACAUGAUUGCUUGAAUUAGCUCCUCGUUCUUUAUUUAUGGUCAGGGCAGACCUUAAUAGAUGCGUCGACUUCUACUGCAUAAGUUGCGAAUUUUUAAUUCGAAAUGGUACAUCGCCGAUGUGGAUUUAAAGAGAGACUUGAUUUUUCUGAUUAUGAGAAGUCAGAAAUCUCUGUUUUUGGCAACAGGAGCUUUUAAUCUGCUGAGUUUUUCGAUAUCUCUCACGGAAAUUUUAGAAGAGAGAAAUCUACAGACGAUCAUGCAAUUGUGUGUUUUUAGAUUAUGAAAAUAUCCUACUCAAUUGUAACUCUACUGCGAUAAGGUCCAAGUGCGUCUCUAAUUAUUUAAAUUUAUUGCGAAAAUCUAGGUUUCUGAAAAU